AAGAAGACGACUACUGCUUCUUCGGGGCUUUUAACAGGAGGCUGUGCAGCUGUAACGCUAGUUGUUAUUAGUGUUCGUUAAUAACGUAUUCAUAACAUUUUACUUCCUUGUAGGAGUGUUAGAGAUUCACUGACAGUUUAUUGGGGACGGCUAACGUUAGGUUAGCUCACCCUCCUCAGGACAACAUGGUGAAAACUGGAACGAUGGAGCUUUUCUACUUGUGCAUCUGGCUGCUGACUGUUUCUGGAAAGUUACUUGGACAUGCAAACGGGACAGAUGUGGUGUUUGUAAAAGAAGGGAGCGAUGCCGUGUUACCCUGCUUCUCUCCCACCAACCUGGUAGAUAAACUCUUUGACUGGAGGAAAAUUGUUCUCAAAGGUGGUAAGCAGGAGAUGAAGGAGGUGUUCCUGUAUCAUUCCAAGGAUCAUUACAAUAACGGCCGUCUUGGUCAGGACGAGCAGUUCAAAGGUCGAGUCUUACAUUUUGAGGGGAGCGCUGAAGGACGGCAACGCCUCCAUAAUCAUCCAAAAUACGACGCUGGACGACAGUGGAGAUUUCACUUGUGCCUUUCCUCAUCUUCAGCCCAACACACUGACCUCAGUUAGGCUCAUCGUUGUUCCUGUCCUCAGAGACCGAUCAGGAGAAACCAGACUUGCAGUUUCAAGGCCUUUCAUCACAAUCGCUGAUGUCACACAGUUCGGGGUGCUGCUCAGGUGUGACGUGCAAGAUGCUAAAUUACUGCCAAAGCUCCAAUGGCAGGACAGUGACGGAAACAUCCUUCCUGCUGAGGAGACUCAAGCCUCAGAGAGAGGAGGCCGCUCUGACAUCACCCUCCAAACUACUGUGAGCAAGACCAAAACCAACCGCUUCCACUGCGUAGCCACACAGGAGGAGAUCGGCCAUGUGAUUGACCGUAACAUCACUGUGUCAGAGAAACUGUUUGAGGACAAAUGCAGCGCAGUGGACAUCACAGGAUGGUUAGGUGGAUUCUUUUUGGGAGU